UACCAGACUCCUACGGGAGGCAGCAGUGGGGGAUAUUACACAAUGGGGGGAACCCUGAUGCAGCGACGCCGCGUGGGUGAAGGAGCGUUUCGGCGCGUAAAGCCCUAUCGGCAGGGAAGAAGGAGGACGGUACCUGACUAAGAAGCCCCGGCUAACUACGUGCCAGCAGCCGCGGGAAUACGUAGGGGGCAAGCGUUAUCCUGAUUUACUGGGUGUAAAGGGAGCGUAGACGGCAGCGCAAGUCUGAAGUGAAGUGCCGGGGCUUAACCCCGGAACUGCUUUGGAAACUGAGCAGCUAGAGUGCAGGAGAGGUAAGUGGAAUUCCUAGUGUAGCGGUGAAAUGCGUAGAUAUUAGGAGGAACACCGGUGGCGAAGGCGGCCUGCUGGACUGUAACUGACGUUGAGGCUCGAAAGCGUGGGGAGCAAACAGGAUUAGAUACCCGAGUA
rnacentral:rRNA from 1 species